rnacentral:rRNA from 1 species
GGGGUCUUUUAAAUGGAGCCUCGGGUGAACGGUUUAGCAUUCCUGUUCUGUGUUCCCUCCCAGGAGUAAUAAUUCUUUUCUGAGUGAAGAAACCCAGAUAAGGCCAAAAAGACGAGAAGACCCUGUCGAGCUUUAACCUUUAGGUGAAGUCUUAAACCCCUCUUAGACAUCACCCAAAGGUUUUGGUUGGCGGCAACCAUGGAGAAAAUAAACCCUCCAGAGCAAAUCAAAAGAAAGUAAUUAACUAUUACUCCUAACAGAGAACCAGGAACUGGAAUUCACAACAAGUUACCGCAGGGGUAACAGCGAAAUCCCCUCUAAGAGUCC